rnacentral:tRNA from 1 species
GGGGAAUAGCUCAGUGGUAGAGCACAUGCCUAGCAUGCAUAAGGUCCUGGGUUCAAUCCCCAGUACCUGCCA